rnacentral:rRNA from 1 species
CCGCGGUUAGACGGAAAGACCCCGUGCACCUUUACUGCAGCUUCAGAGUGGCAUUAGGAAAGAAUUGUGUAGAAUAGGUGGGAGGCUUUGAAACUUGGGCGCCAGUCCGAGUGGAGCCAUAAUGUGAAAUACCACCCUAUUGUUUUCUGGUGUCUAACCUAGAUCCGUUAUCCGGAUCAGGGACCCUCUGUGGCGGGCAGUUUGACUGGGGCGGUCGCCUCCGAAAGAGUAACGGAGGCGCGCGAUGGUAGGCUCAGACCGGUCGGAAAUCGGUCGUCGAGUGCAAUGGCAUAAGCCUGCCUGACUGCGAGACUGACAAGUCGAGCAGAGACGAAAGUCGGUCAUAGUGAUCCGGUGGUCCCGCGUGGAAGGGCCAUCGCUCAACGGAUAAAAGGUACGCCGGGGAUAACAGGCUGAUGAUGCCCAAGAGUCCAUAUCGACGGCAUUGUUUGGCACCUCGAUGUCGGCUCAUCGCAUCCUGGGGCUGGAGCAGGUCCCAAGGGUUUGGCUGUUCGCCAA